CGCGGCAAUAGUCUAGUGGUAGGACAGGGGCCCCCCAAGCCUCUAACCCGGGUUCGAAUCCCGGUUGCCGCAUC
rnacentral:tRNA from 1 species